ACUCUCUUCUCCCUUAUUUUCCUUCAAAAUUGACAACACUCUUCUCCCCCAUGCCCAGGUUCAGACGAGAACCAACUACCCAUUAGACAAAGGCCGUAAAUCGGCAGCAAACACCCCUCCCCAAGCCGACCACCACCACCGGUGGUCCGACCAACCCGAAUCCUUCAAAACCACUCGAAAACUCUUCCUAAAAUGAUCUCUAAGACCCUGAUUUGGGGUUUGACGAUCUGAAGACGAGAGCCAGCUCGACGAGUACUCCUUACCCAACGACUAAUCUCCAUCUACCUCACUCCGGCGAGAUCAAACCAAGCCAGUUGGUUGAUGCAGUGUGAGACAUAGGGCCUGGCAGCGUGUUAAUGUUGCGUGGAGUGUUGGUGUGCAGCAACAGGGCAUGGGCGAAGAUAAUGAGACUUUGCUCUGUUGAAAUUCUCACUGCGGCGGAAAGAUUCGAGAAGGAGAGGAAAGAAGUUAGAGAAAUGAGUUAACUACAGCCUUAGUACCUGAAGUCUCUAGGAUUUUAUAAUUUAGAGUUUAGUAACCAAAAUAAAAGAGAAGAAAAUAGUUGAGUGAUGAAUAGUAUAAUUUACCCAAUUAAUAACAGCUAAAAUUAACGAAACCAUUGGUCAUUGACUGAAACUGUUAGUUAAAGGGUCACAUUGAUCCAAAAAAAAAUAAUAUGAGAGCCACAUUGGUUUUUGUUUU